AGGACGAACGCUGGCGGCGUGCCUAACACAUGCAAGUCGAACGGAACUAUUUGACUGACUCCUUCGGGAUGAAGAAUUUUAGUUAGUGGCGGACGGGUGAGUAACGCGUGAGUAACCUGCCUCUGAGAGGGGAAUAACGUUCUGAAAAGAACGCUAAUACCGCAUAACACAUAUUUGCCGCAUGACAGAUAUGUCAAAGAUUUUAUCGCUCGGAGAUGGACUCGCGUCCGAUUAGUUAGUUGGUGAGGUAACGGCUCACCAAGGCCGCGAUCGGUAGCCGGACUGAGAGGUUGAACGGCCACAUUGGGACUGAGACACGGCCCAGACUCCUACGGGAGGCAGCAGUGAGGAAUAUUGGGCAAUGGAGGAAACUCUGAACCCCCAGCCAUGCCGCGUGAGUGAAGAAGGUUUUCGAAUUGUAAAGCUCUUUCGGGUGUGACGAUGAUGACGGUAACACCUAAAGAAGCCCCGGCAAACUUCGUGCCAGCAGCGGC
rnacentral:rRNA from 1 species